rnacentral:rRNA from 1 species
UACAGAGGGUGCAAGCGUUAAUCGGAAUUACUGGGCGUAAAGCGCACGUAGGCGGUUUUUUAAGUCAGAUGUGAAAGCCCCGGGCUCAACCUGGGAAUUGCAUUUGAAACUGGAACACUAGAGUGUGUGAGAGGGGGGUAGAAUUCCAAGUGUAGCGGUGAAAUGCGUAGAGAUUUGGAGGAAUACCAGUGGCGAAGGCGGCCCCCUGGCACAACACUGACGCUCAGGUGCGAAAGCGUGGGGAGCAAACAGG